CUUUAACUUCACUAUAGUCAAGCAUUGGAUAAACCAAUUAACUGUGUUUUACCACAAAAUAACCGUGGUUUUGCUAAUAAUAAUCAAUACACCAAAAAAACAUGGUUACUAAACUUUUACCACAAAAAAAAAACAUUCAUUUUCGUAAGGGGAAUAUGAGUGUUUGUUUUUUUGUAGUUUUUCAGUCAAUUGCAUACCGCUUUUAGCUGUACAAAACUUAAACAGUUUUCUUAAAUGCAUUUCAGAGAAAAGUGAAUUCUGAGAUUUGAAUAAUGCAUCUGACGUGUGUGUGAUGACGUCACGACGCACGUAUUUUGAUUUUUACCAGUCGUUCAAGGCGGACGGAUUCAGUCCCAAGGUACGUUAAAAUAUCUUAAAAUUAAUUAUAUUUGAUUAUCGUUUGACCAUUCUGACGUUUAUCAGUAGACUAUCAUAUUUCGAAUGCGAAAUGUUGUCAAUAACGCGGUGUCUAACUCGCUAUUAGUGAUAAGCUGCUGUGUAGCUUAGCUUAGCUUAUAGCUAAUGUUAAAGGUUUGAAAGAUAGCACUGUUAGCCUGUUAUAUCGAAUUAGUACACCCAAUUGUUUUGUUAAAUAUAUGUAUUGGUGUGUAUGUAUAUGUUAAUGAAAAAAGGUAGCGUCAGAAAAUCUGUUUUUUAAAUGUAGCGUGAAAGUUAACCAUUUAUUGACUGUUUAGAGGUUGUAAGGCUUUUACAUAACUUAACUGUAUUUAGUAUUAAUGAUGCUGCAUUCUUUCCUCAGAAGCUAAAGUUUUUCAAAGAAAUUUGUAGGGAGGACUUUGCAGCUAAUGAUUUCCUUAGGCUGAACCAAAACCUGCCAGACUAAAGUUGAUUUGGGAGAGAAAGACGUUGUAAACUCAAUCAUCUUGACAUUCUUCAAUGAGUAAUUGUUCAAUUUUUAGGCAAAUACUGUACACUUUGAAUGCUGUGAAUAAAACUAUAUUUUAAAUAUAUUUAAAAUGAA